rnacentral:rRNA from 1 species
UUGAACGCUGGCGGCAUGCUUAACACGUGCAAGUCGAACGGUAGCAGGCCUUCGGGCGCUGACGAGUGGCGGACGGGUGAGUAAUGCAUAGGAAUCUGCCUUGGAAUGGGGGAUAACUAAGGGAAACUUUAGCUAAUACCGCAUGAUGUCUACGGACCAAAGCGGGGGACCUUCGGGCCUCGCGUUCUGAGAGGAGCCUAUGUCAGAUUAGCUAGUUGGUGGGGUAAAGGCCUACCAAGGCUGUGAUCUGUAACUGGUCUGAGAGGAUGACCAGUCACACUGGGACUGAGACACGGCCCAGACUCCUACGGGAGGCAGCAGUGGGGAAUAUUGAACAAUGGGGGCAACCCUGAUCCAGCAAUGCCGCGUGAGUGAAGAAGGCCUUAGGGUUGUAAAGCUCUUUUGUAGGGGAGGAAGGCUUCCGGGUGAAUAUCCCUGAGGAUUGACGUUACCCUAAGAAUAAGCACCGGCUAACUCUGU